UACGGAGGGGGCUAGCGUUGUUCGGAAUUACUGGGCGUAAAGCGCACGUAGGCGGCCAUUCAAGUCAGAGGUGAAAGCCCAAGGCUCAACCUUGGAACUGCCUUUGAUACUGUUUGGCUUGAGACCGGUAGAGGUAAGUGGAACUGCGAGUGUAGAGGUGAAAUUCGUAGAUAUUCGCAAGAACACCAGUGGCGAAGGCGGCUUACUGGACCGGUUCUGACGCUGAGGCGCGAAAGCGUGGGGAGCAAACAGG
rnacentral:rRNA from 1 species